AUACGUAGGUGGCAAGCGUUAUCCGGAUUUAUUGGGCGUAAAGCGAGCGCAGGCGGUCUUUUAAGUCUGAUGUGAAAGCCUUCGGCUUAACCGAAGAAGGGCAUCGGAAACUGGGAGACUUGAGUGCAGAAGAGGAGAGUGGAGCUCCAUGUGUAGCGGUGAAAUGCGUAGAUAUAUGGAAGAACACCAGUGGCGAAGGCGGCUGCCUGGUCUGUAACUGACGCUGAGGCUCGAAAGUAUGGGUAGC
rnacentral:rRNA from 1 species